CUAUUCAAUUUUAAAAUUCUAGGGUUUCACUCUUGUUUUGUGUACUUGAUUUGGCUAAUGUUCAGUUUCCUUUCAUCUUCAUCCAUUUAGGGCUACGUUCUUCAUCGAGAAGGGUUCUACAUUUCUUAGAAAGGGGUUUUUGGUCUAGAUUUUCACUCGAGAUUCAGAAAAGGCACAGAGAAGGGUUCGAUGGGAGCAAAUCUGCAGGAGCUCAGCCUCAAUCUCUCUGAAUCGUCUCAUCGCAUUGUACGCACAGAGAGAGAGAGAGAGAGAGAGAGAGAGAGAGUCAAAGGGAGGAGCAAAGCAGAGAUACACUAACUGAAGAAGGGUAUUUACCUGGUACACUACUUCAUUUGAUCAAAAGCAUCACUGGAGCAAAUGAAAAAGAUUUUACACUGGUGUUAGCUAUCCGGGGCAAAGUUAUUUCUUAUAAUGUCAAGUCCAAGACAUUGAAGGAGCUUCAUCAUUUAUCCACAGAUGAUCUUGAUGAUUGGGGAGCAAGUUGGUGUAAUAAUACUUAUCAAUUCAUUGAAAGCCUAUCACCUGUUUGAUCAUUAUCCUACAUGUUUCUACUUCUUUCUUCAGCAGAUGGUACAUGAGAUGGCAAUGGUUUCAGCUAUUCAGGAAGCUCAGAAGGAUAACCUUAGAAGUUUUAAUGAUUAUAUGAUGACAGUUUUGGAGGUUUUUGAAGUGCGAUGCGAUACCAAAAAUUACGGUGAAGAACUAGUUGGUUGCAAGAUAAAAGUUUGGUGGCCAUUGGACAAUGUGUUUUAGGAUGGCACUAUUUAUUCAUUUGACUAUACAGAAAAGGAGCAUAGGAUUUUGUAUGCUGAUGGUGAUGAAGAAAAAUUAAUAAGAUCAUCGUUAAAUGUUGCUUUUGAUGUUGAAAUACUGGGUUGCCAAGCUGGCCUUAUGGUAGGAAUAGAGGGUGGAGUGACUGUGAGUCCAAAAUUAGGCAGUGGAGGUAUGUGAGACUAAGGGUAGAGUGAAGUAAGUUCCUAUAAUUCGAACUCUUCUAUGCAGGUUUGUCUGGGCUAUAACUUUCUUAUGGAAAGGUUUUGGCCCUCGUAUCUGUUUGGAGAAGUUGUUUGAUUGUUCUUGGUAUACACAUUGUAUAAGGAAUUUUUUGUUGUGGGUUGAGUGAUGGGAGUGCUAUAUUUUCAGAGUGUGUUGUUUUUUGGCUUACUGUUAUCCUUUUAUGUUGUUUCUCUCGUUAACCUGUUCCUUCAUUCUGAGAUGGGAGUGUUUGAGGGUUGAGCUUGUGAGACCAUAUAUUGUGUGAGCCUUGUUGAUACGUCUGUUAUCACAUCUGCUGUGAUUUAUUACAAGCUAACUGUUUUCUCUGUAGGUCUUGGAGCUGGUGCCGUGUGUGAGAGAGAUGUUUGUUGUGGGUUGAGUGAAUGAGAGGUCUACACUUUUGAAGUGGUUUUCUCUUAUUCAUUUUCUUAUUCCUUUCUCUGCUCAGUGUGUUGAGCUUUGCAUGUCUUUGUAUCUUUAUGGGGUUUGAGUUUGUGAGGUUCACAUAGUGGUUUCUGCUACAGGUCUAAGCUCAGCUUCUUGUAGGUGGGCUUUUUCCAUUCUGCUGCUGCUCAAAGAUAGUGCUGGAGUGCUCAUUAUAGGCAUGAUGGGGGCUGUGCUAUGUUAUUUAAAUUUUGGAGAAUUUUUCAGAGGGCCAGGCUGGAAGAAUGCGCCAAUCUUUGAAGUAGUUCUCAGAUAAGUUUAUUGGUGUCCUUUUUAAUGCUGAUAUUGUACAUAGUUGGCCUUUUGGUUAUCUAUUUGAAGGAUGUAUUCAGUACAAGACUGCUAUUCCUUAUGGGCUGAAUCUGGGAUAUAUUGUAUUAUCUUUUGCUGUGUACUGUUGCUUUGAGUUUGCUGCUAGGCUGCUACUCUUCUACUCUGCUGAACAAAUGCUGCAUUGCUCUACUUUGUUGCUGAUCCGCUAUGCUGCCCUUUGUACUGUUGUGCUGCUAUAGGCAUUGCGUCUGUGCUCUGUGCUGCUGAGUAAUAGUUGUUAGUUGGUUGGGAGUUUAUGCUAUCCAUUGCGUUGUACUCAUCUCUUGCUCUUCCACUAUGCCGAUCACCAUCGCCGUCCAAAAAAAGGCACAGAAAGAGGCAGGAACUAGGAGUGGUUGGGUUGAGCAUGUGGACUACAAUUUUAUUUUUUUGGCUCUGGUUUUCUGUUUCUUAUAAUUCUAGUGACAUCUUCAUUAAUUACUGAUUACAUCAUUUUCUGACUAGGGAAGUAGAUUCUUUACUCAAUUGCUUUUUAGAAAUCCUUAAAUUCAUGGUUUAUGGGGCCAAUAGAAGUGUUACAUUGCUGUCUAUGUAUAUAUAUAAUUUUUUUGGGGAGUAAAAUCUUAACCGUGCUUGCUUUCUUAUGUUAUGUGCAUCCAGAAUUCAUUAUUGCAGAUGCUAAGCACAGUACUUAUGCCCUCACAAUCAUCUCAAUCAGAAGAUAUUUACCUUUCUGUGCUAUCUGGUGCUACCUAUGGAAGUGCUAUGCUUCAUCAUGUUGGUAUGUCAGUUCAAAUCUCUAGUAGCAAUUUACCUAUGCCACGAUUGAUUAUCGGAGCUCUUCUCACAGGCCUUUUUACAAACAAAUGGAUGUAGUCAUCUUUCAUGUAUCCCUUUUUAACACAAGACCUAUCACGAAUGAAUGAACUAAGGGCCGCCAUUGAGAAGAGUAGUGCUAUUUUUGACAAAGAGAAAGCACAAGAGUGAUAGUCAAAGCUAUCUGGCGGUGUUGCUGUUUUCAAGGUUAGAAGGGCUAGCAAGGCAGGAGUUGGAGAAAGGAAAGAUUGGGUUACAGAUGCUUUAAAUGCAACAAGAGCAGCUACGGAAGAGGGAAUUGUUCCAGAUAAUGGAUAAACUUGUAAAUAAUAUAGACUUUAAUUUGACUUGGACUCUUUAUGGGGCCAUUAAAUUAUCUUAUUAAUUUUGGAAAUGUUUUGUUGAUGUUUUAUAAUUUCUCAAUCAUUUCUUAAUACCUCAAGAAACCAUUAAAUUAUCUUAUUAAUUUUGGAAAUGUUUUGCUGA